AGACGGAAAGUCCUCAGGACGGAAAGACCUCAGGUCGGAAGGUCUUCAGGUCGGGAGGUCCUCAAGACGGAAAGUCCUCAGGACGGAAAGACCUCAGGUCGGAAGGUCUUCAGGUCGGGAGGUCCUCAAGACGGAAAGUCCUCAGGACGGAAAGACCUCAGGUCGGAAGGUCUUCAGGUCGGGAGGUCCUCAAGACGGAAAGUCCUCAGGACGGAAAGACCUCAGGUCGGAAGGUCUUCAGGUCGGGAGGUCCUCAAGACGGAAAGUCCUCAGGACGGAAAGACCUCAGGUCGGAAGGUCUUCAGGUCGGGAGGUCCUCAAGACGGAAAGUCCUCAGGACGGAAAGACCUCAGGUCGGAAGGUCUUCAGGUCGGGAGGUCCUCAAGACGGAAAGUCAUCAGGACGGGAAGUCCGCAGGUCGGGAGGCCCUCAGGACGGGAAGUCCGCAGGUCGGGAGGCCCUCAGGUCGGAAAGUCCGCAGGUCGAAAAGUCUUCAGGGCGGAAAGUCCUCAGGUUGGAUAGGUCGGGAAGUUCUCAGGUCGGAACUCUGCGGCAGGACCAACAAAUCGGAUGGUUUGUUAGUCGGGAUGUCUGUAGCUAAUCCAAACAAGUCAGAUGGUUUGCAAGUCGGGAGGAUUGGCAGUCGGACCAAUACGGUUGUAGAUUGGCAGUCGGGCCAAAAGGGCGGAAGGUCUGUGGUCGG